AUGAACGCUGGCGGCGUGCCUAAUACCUGCCAGUCGAGCGAACAGACGAGGAGCUUGCUCCUCUGACGUUAGCGGCGGACGGGUGAGUAACACGUGGAUAACCUACCUAUAAGACUGGGAUAACUUCGGGAAACCGGAGCUAAUACCGGAUAAUAUAUUGAACCGCAUGGUUCCAUAGUGAAAGACGGUUUUGCUGUCACUUAUAGAUGGAUCCGCGCCGCAUUAGCUAGUUGGUAAGGUAACGGCUUACCAAGGCAACGAUGCGUAGCCGACCUGAGAGGGUGAUCGGCCACACUGGAACUGAGACACGGUCCAGACUCCUACGGGAGGCAGCAGUAGGGAAUCUUCCGCAAUGGGCGAAAGCCUGACGGAGCAACGCCGCGUGAGUGAUGAAGGUCUUCGGAUCGUAAAACUCUGUUAUUAGGGAAGAACAAAUGUGUAAGUAACUAUGCACGUCUUGACGGUACCUAAUCAGAAAGCCACGGCUAACUACGUG
rnacentral:rRNA from 1 species